CAAUAAAGUAGAUUGCAUGAUCUUAUGCCGAUUAAAGAAAUUCAGCCGUCGCAAAAUGUGAAGCAACAGUAAAACAAACAAAGAUUUCAGAAUAUUUUAAAUUGAUUCGAUUGUACGAGCUCAAAUCCCUCUUAUAUUGUCAAACAAACCAUACAAAUGAAAUUUGAGAGUUGUACUGUGAAUUUUGAAUUUCUUUUUAAUGUUCUGUUAACCGUCUUUUCGAUUAUCCGUCAUACCCUUGGUCCGGUGCCCUGACGGAUAAUCGAGGUUCUACUGUACUUAAAUAUUAGGCAAUCCAAACCACGUGACCUCUGGUUGGCACACAAACUAACAAAGAGGUUAUGUUUGUAUCUAUUUUUCAAUGAUUUUUCAUUGUUUAUCGUCGUAUUUUGUCUAUUUUGGAUUUCGUUUCCUGUUUUUGUGAACUUUAUAAACUUUACUACAAUGCAAACUGAUUAUUUAAGGAAAUUAUUAUUGGAAACUCCAGAUGUUGUGAGAAAGAUAUUUAUUGAAGCUGAAAAUAAUUGUGGAUUUAGAUCCAUACGCAAUUCAGUCAGAAUUGGAUUUUACAGUAAAGUGCAGACCAUCAAGUUACUAUUAUAGAUAUUUAUACAUAUCUGGUGGAAUCUCGCAGUUGCUACUCUAAGCAGCAGAUGAAAGCACACAAAAGCCUUCAGGCACAUAAAUAUUUUACAGCUGGAUUUGUUUUGAAUGGAGUAAAAAUUGUUAAUGAUUUCCUGAUUUCCAUAUUAUUGUUGGAAAGGUGAAGCAUUUCCAAAAAUCUAAUGCUAAACGACUAAAUGCUUGGGUGGGGUGAUAGCCAGUUCUGAUGACAUAGCAAAUGCAGAUUGUAUGCGUAUGGCCAGUAAUAGUGAAGUCUGCAGCAAUCCUAUUUUUAGCUGAGUAUGCCCAGGGCAAGAUAGACGAAGAAGAACCCAAUGUUACAGCUACAUGGUUUGGAGAUAGCAACAUAUGCAUUCUCUGAUGAAAAACUAAUGAGUUUUGAAACUGUUCGGUCAGAGUGCUUGUUGUGCUCACUAAACGAACUGAAAUAUAAGAUGGCUUUGGCGUUGUGUUGCAGCGAUAUGAAAAUGGUUAUUCAUUUUUAAUUAUAAUGUACUUCUUCAUCAUGAGUAGUUAUGUAUUGGUCUUUUAAAUGUGUAUUUAUUUUUGUAAUUAGUAUCAACUUGUAAUGAUAAUAUACAUUUAUCGUUUAAGGUAUGACUAUGUUUUGACUCUAAAAUAAAUGAUUUAAAAAUCGAA